ensembl:snRNA U6 U6 spliceosomal RNA
GGGCUCGCUUUGGCAGCACAUCUACUAAAAUUGGAAUGAUAUGGAGAAGAUUUGCAUAACCCUUGCACAAGGAUGACACGCAAAUUCGUGAAGCACUCCAUAUAUGU